rnacentral:rRNA from 1 species
GACAGAGGUGCCAAGCGUUAGGCGGAAUCACUGGGCUUAAAGCGUGUGUAGGCGGACUUGUAAGUACCUUGUGAAAUCCCACGGCUCAACCGUGGAACUGCUUGGUAUACUGCUUGUCUUGAGCCACUUAGGGGCUACCGGAACAAAUGGUGGAGCGGUGAAAUGCGUAGAUAUCAUUUGGAACGCCAAUGGUGAAGACAGGUAACUGGGAGUGUGCCGACGCUGAGACACGAAAGCCAGGGGAGCGAACGGG